rnacentral:rRNA from 1 species
GUGCCAGCCCCGCGGUAAUACGGAGGGUGCAAGCGUUAAUCGGAAUCACUGGGCGUAAAGGGCACGCAGGCGGCUCGUCAAGUGGGAUGUGAAAGCCCCGGGCUCAACCUGGGAAUGGCAUUCCAAACUGGCGCGCUAGAGUCCGGUAGAGGGAGGCGGAAUUCCCCGUGUAGCGGUGAAAUGCGUAGAUAUCAUGAGGAACACCAGAGGCGAAGGCGGCUACCUGGACAAUUGCUGACGCUCAGGCACGAAAGCGUGGGGAGCAAAAGGGAUUAGAAACCCGGUAGUCC